UACGGAGGGGGCUAGCGUUGUUCGGAAUUACUGGGCGUAAAGCGUGCGCAGGCGGUUCGCUAAGACAGAUGUGAAAUCCCCCGGGCUUAACCUGGGAACUGCAUUUGUGACUGGCGGGCUAGAGUAUGGCAGAGGGGGGGUAGAAUUCCACGUGUAGCAGUGAAAUGCGUAGAGAUGUGGAGGAAUACCGAUGGCGAAGGCAGCCCCCUGGGCCAAUACUGACGCUCAUGCACGAAAAGCGUGGGGAGCAAACAGG
rnacentral:rRNA from 1 species